CGGCGACGUGCGGGACAGCACGCGGGGGGGCACCGCCCCGUGACCGUGACGAAAUCACGGAAUGGGAGGGGCUUGGAACCGACCAAAAGGAUCAUCCGGUCCCAGCCUCCCUCUCACUAGAACAGCUUGUUCGAAGACCCGUUCCACCUGGCUUUGAACACUGCAAGGGUUGAGGAAUCCACAAUCUCCCUGGGCAACCUGUUCCAGUGCCUCACCACCCUCGCACUUCCCCUUAGGCCCCUUUCAGGUACUGGAAGCUGCUAUGAGGUCUCCACACAACCUAUUCUGCAGGAUGAACAGCCCCAACUGUCUCAGCCUGUCUUCAUAGGGGAGAUGUUCCAGUCCUCUUAUGAAUUUUGUGGCCCUCCUCUAGACUUGGUCCAGCAGUUCUAUGUCCUUCUUGUAUUGGGGACCCCAGAGCUGGAUGCAGCACUCCAGGUUAAACUCUACACAUCUCCCACUGCAGGACAUCCCUGGCUAGAUGCCAGAUGCUCACUGAAGCUGCACUGUUACUUCCUUCCUCAGCUGGACACGGGAGAGAAAACAGAACAAAAGGCUCAUGAGUUGGGAUAAGGACAAGGAGAGAUCAC